rnacentral:rRNA from 1 species
UACGUAGGGUGCAAGCGUUGUCCGGAAUUAUUGGGCGUAAAGAGCUCGUAGGCGGUUUGUCGCGUCUGCUGUGAAAACUGGAGGCUCAACCUCCAGCCUGCAGUGGGUACGGGCAAACUAGAGUGCGGUAGGGGGAGAUUGGAAUUCCUGGUGUAGCGGUGGAAUGCGCAGAUAUCAGGAGGAACACCGAUGGCGAAGGCAGAUCUCUGGGCCGUAACUGACGCUGAGGAGCGAAAGCGUGGGGGAGCGAACAGG